AGGUGAGGGACAGGAUUCCACAGCAUUAGCCAAAUCUGGGUCGCUGGAGAACGUUCAGUUCAGAAUAUUUUCCUUGGCAGACGAGACGAUACCAACUACACGCCCCACUGUGUGUUCCCUCUCAGCGUGUGUGGGAUCGUACAUGGUGUGAGUGGAACACAGAGGAGUCCAAGGAGUCCACUGGAAGCCCAGUUCAGAUCUCACCCUACGGAUUAUAACACCCACUCACUAGAGCACAGCCCAUGUCCUCAAUAACCCCAGUUAUAAUAAAACACUCACUCACUACAGCACAGACCAAGAUGGAGAGGGAUGGAGUGCUGCAUCAGAUGACCUGGCCUCCGCAAUCAGCCAACCUCAACCCAUUUGAGAUGGUUUGGGAUGAGUUGGACCGCAGAGUGAAGGAAAAGCAGCCAACAAGUGCUCAGCAUAAUAUGGUAACUCCUUCAAGACUGUUGGAAAAGCAUUCCAGGUGAAGCUGGUUGAGAGAAUCCCAAGAGUGUGCAAAGCUGUCAUCAAGACAAAGGGACCUGAGCCCUAGGACCAUGCCUCAGGACUACCUGGCUUGAUGACUCCUUGCUGUCCCCAGUUCACCUGGCCGUGCUGCUGCUCCAGUUCCAACUGUUCUGCCUGCAGCUAUGGAACCCUGACCUGUUCACCGGACGUGCUACCUGUCCCAGACCUGUUGUCCCAGACCUGCUGGAACCCUGACCUAUUCACCGGACGUCCUACCUGUCCCAGAGUUGCUGUCCCAGACCUGCUGGAACCCUGACCUGUUCACCGGACGUGCUACCUGUCCCAGACCUGCUGUUUUCAACUCUCUAGAGACAGCAGGAGUGGUAGAGAUACUCUCAAAGAUCGGCUAUGAAAAAGCCAACUGACACUUACUCUUGUGUUACUGACUUGUUGCACCCUCGACAACUACUAUGAUUAUUAUUAUUUGACAAUGCUGGUCAUUUAUGAACAUUUGAACAUCUAGGCCAUGUGCUGUUAUAAUCUCCACCCAGCACAGCCAGAAGAGGACUGGCCACCCCUCAUAGCCUGGUUCCUCUCUAGGUUUCUUCCUAGGUUCUGGCCUUUCUAGGGAGUUUUUCCUAGCCACCGUGCUUCUACACCUGCAUUGCUUGCUGUUUGGGGUUUUAGGCUGGGUUUCUGUACAGCACUUUGUGAUAUCAGCUGAUGUAAGAAGGGC
rnacentral:lncRNA from 1 species